rnacentral:lncRNA from 1 species
CCCAAAGAAACCUUUUGAUGUCAGUUCUUUUUUGCUCUGAGAAGAAUUUGAAACCUCUUGCCUCUUCUUUAGAGAGGAUUAUUAAUGGUCCUAUAAACUGAAGUUUAAAUUUGGAAACAUUUCUAAUCAGAGGAACGAGCACUGGGCCUGGAGUCAGAAGGCCUGGGUUCUGGUCCUGGAUGUUCAAUGGAGAAACCACUAAGACCUGCUUUGGCAUCAGUGGAAUCUUAGGCCAGCAUUGUUCACCAGCUUUGACACUUGCCAUCUGGAGGGAAAUGACAGUGUGCCUAUUGCAAAAUCAAUCUGAAGAAGCAACAGUUAAUGCCAUGGUCACUAUGAAAUGCCAUAAACAUUCCUUAAUUUCUCCAAGAACAUCAUCAGGUAAGUGGACUUUCUAUUUCCUAGGCUUGGCUUCCACCCAUUUCCCAGAACUGGUAGGGCUGGGAAUCUGGAGAAGUCCAUUACAAGUUGGAACUCACAUGGGUGCGCCAAAGAUUUUUUUUCCUGGCUACACUUGA